rnacentral:sRNA from 1 species
AGUGUACUGAAUGGGAUUCUACGACCAAAUGAAAAGUAUAAUGUUUCCAUAAGUUUCUGUCCAAAUCGUCCUGGGACAUACACAGCAGAUAUUCCUAUGCUUUUAAAUUAUAUUCCAGUUUGCUAUAAAAUAUUAUGUCUUACUGGGGAAGUAAAAUCACCAGAGUUAUUGUUUGACCCUCCAUUUAUAUUUUUCACUCCUGUUCCUUUGGAUAUAACAACUGUGAUGGAUAUCAACAUUUUACCUCAAAACUAUUUCAGAAAUUCAACUCUAUGUGUCCAGAUUCCCACAGUAAGGCUUCUUGAUGGUGAAGAGAUUCGCCCUCUUUCUGUGAAAUUUCCAAAAGGCAGAGUCAUCCCAGGCUCUCACAGUGGAAUUAAUAAUAAGCUCACUUGCCACCUCAGUUUCAAGUCAUCUAAACCUGUGUCAUUUUUUACCAAUCUUCUUUUCUGUGAUGACAGAAAAAACUGGUUUUCACUUCCAGUUACUGCAACAGCAGAAAACUGCAUUCUUACUAUUUACCCAUAUAUGGCAAUUCAUCUGGAUAAGCAAAACAUUAUUUUAAAGAAUGAUAAGGAUGAAUAUCUUAAGAAGACUAGAGAUGGUGUUUUGCCUCCCUACCAGGAUGCUAAAUCACCCUCUCCUGCUUCAAUUAAAAAGACAUACACCACUAGCAAAUUCAAUGAUGCUGAACCUGCAAAGGGAAACUUAUUUAUUGGAGUGGAAGUACUGCCUGAAAAUUUGCACUUGGUUGAAAGUGAAACAUCAAAGGAAGAUCAUGGGUCUCUGGAAAAGGAAAAAUAUGAACAAUUCCUUUCUCUUGAAGAAGGAACAAAGGCACACUACUUUUUUGAGAAGGUUGUAAAUGCAGCACAGACCUGGUUCAGUCUCUUUGGCUGGCCUGAAGGACCCCAUUCUUUUUCUAUUCCAGAGACUAUAAGAAGGGAUGUAUAUAAAAUGCAAUUCUACUCAUCAACCUCGCCACCCCAAAAGUUUUCCAGACAGAAUGACUUUUCCAAAUAUAAUAAGACCAUUUAUGAUGUGCUGCUCCAUUUGAGUGGAAAAAUGCCACCUGGAAUUAAUUCAAGUCAAUCUUUACCUGUAGAUAACCAUGAAAAAAGGGUAAUUCAACUCCAUUUGCAACAUUCCUCACUUCUGGACUUUCUCAAUGCUCAAGGAGGAUGUAUUUCACAUGUUCUGCCGGAAUUUUUGCUUGAACCAGAAGAUUAUAAGAGGUGGAUUGAAAUUAUGUCUUCCACUAAUACGAUGCCUGUGAGUUCCUGUACACCUAAGAAAAAAUGUUCUAUUGUUAUAGAAAUGUCUAAAUUUGAAGCCUGGAGUAAACGGGCAUGGACAGAUGUAUUUCUACAAAUAUACAAGGUUUUGGUUCUAUCCCGUGUAGUACCAUACUGCAGCAAUAAUAUGCCCCCCAUAUGUGUGCAAAAUACACCAAAAGUCAAUCCUUGUUUUGCAUCCAGCAACAUAUAUUCUGAUUCUGAAAGAAUUUUGCUUAGUUGGAUGAACAUAAAUUAUGAGAAUACUCGACAUGUGAUAUGGAAAAACUGUCACAAAGAUGUUAUCCCUUCUGAGAGAUGGAUAGUAAAUUUUGACAAAGACCUUUCAGAUGGUCUUGUUUUUGCAACACAGUUGGGAGCCUAUUGCCCAUUCUUGAUUGAGUCUCAUUUUAUUAAUAUGUACACGCAACCAAAAAGUCCUGAAGAGUAUCUGCACAAUUGCCUGAUUAUUGUAAAUACUCUUUAUGAAAUUGACUUUGACAUGGAAAUACAGGUGUGUCUGUGAGGGUGUUUCCAAAGGAGAUGGAUGCAGGAGUCAGUGGCCUGAGAAAGGAAGAUAUGCCCUCAGUGUGGGUUGUUACCAUCCGAUUGGCUGUGGCAGUGGCCAGAACAAAGAGACAGAAGAAGGGGGAUAUUCAGUUUGCUUGUUUUUUUGUUUGUUUGUUCUUUUUUAUUUUUGUCGUGAUCUCUUUCUCCCUUUGGAGCAGGAUGCAUUUUUUUUCUCCUUCUGCCCUUGGACAUCUGAUUCCAGGUUUUUCAGCCUUUGGACUCUAGGACUUGCACCAGCAGCCUCCUUUGGGCUUUCAGCCUUCGGCCUCAGAAUGGGGCCUGCACUGUAGCUUCCCUGGUUUGGGGGAUUUGGGACUUGGCCUGAGCCAUGCUUCUGGCUUCCCUGGGAGCCCCUAUUGGCUUCUGUCAUUCUGCAGUUUGUAGCCAGCCUACUGUGGGACUUCGCCUUUGUGAUUGUUCAGCCAAUUCUUCCUAAUAAAUUCCCAUUUAUAUAUAU